GACGAACGCUGGCGGCGUGCCUAAUACAUGCAAGUCGAGCGCAGGAAACUGACGGAACUCUUCGGAGGGAAGGCAGUGGAAUGAGCGGCGGACGGGUGAGUAACACGUAAGGAACCUGCCUCAAGGAUUGGGAUAACUCCGAGAAAUCGGAGCUAAUACCGGAUAGUUCAUCGGACCGCAUGGUCCGUUGAUGAAAGGCGCUUCGGCGUCACCUUGAGAUGGCCUUGCGGUGCAUUAGCUAGUUGGUGGGGUAACGGCCCACCAAGGCGACGAUGCAUAGCCGACCUGAGAGGGUGAUCAGCCACACUGGGACUGAGACACGGCCCAGACUCCUACGGGAGGCAGCAGUAGGGAAUCUUCCACAAUGGACGAAAGUCUGAUGGAGCAACGCCGCGUGAGUGAUGAAGGUUUUCGGAUCGUAAAACUCUGUUGUAAGGGAAGAACACGUACGAGAGGAAAUGCUCGUACCUUGACGGUACCUUACGAGAAAGCCACGGCUAACUACGUGCCAGCCGCCGCCGUAA
rnacentral:rRNA from 1 species